rnacentral:rRNA from 1 species
UAAGGAAUAUUGGUCAAUGGACGCAAGUCUGAACCAGCCAUGCCGCGUGGAGGAUGAAGGUCCUCUGGAUUGUAAACUUCUUUUAUCUGGGAAGAAAUGCAUUUUUUCUAAAGUGUUUGACGGUACCAGAUGAAUAAGCACCGGCUAACUCCGUGCCAGCAGCCGCGGUAAUACGGAGGGUGCAAGCGUUAUCCGGAUUCACUGGGUUUAAAGGGUGCGUAGGUGGGCAGUUAAGUCAGUGGUGAAAUCUCCGGGCUCAACCCGGAAACUGCCAUUGAUACUAUCUGUCUUGAAUAUCGUGGAGGUAAGCGGAAUAUGUCAUGUAGCGGUGAAAUGCUUAGAUAUGACAUAGAACACCAAUUGCGAAGGCAGCUUACUACCCGAA